UGGUGGAGCGAUUUGUCUAGUUAAUUCCGAUAACGAACGAGACUCCAACCUACUAAGUAGAGAACGAAUUUGCUUGUUCGUUCGACUUCUUAGAGGGACUAGGGGUAUUUAGCCCCACGAAAAAGAGCAAUAACA
rnacentral:rRNA from 1 species